UACGUAGGGGGCAAGCGUUGUCCGGAAUUAUUGGGCGUAAAGAGCUCGUAGGCGGUCUGUCGCGUCGGCUGUGAAAACUCGGGGCUCAACCCCGAGCCUGCAGUCGAUACGGGCAGACUAGAGUGCUGUAGGGGAGACUGGAAUUCCUGGUGUAGCGGUGAAAUGCGCAGAUAUCAGGAGGAACACCGGUGGCGAAGGCGGGUCUCUGGGCAGUAACUGACGCUGAGGAGCGAAAGCGUGGGGAGCGAACAGG
rnacentral:rRNA from 1 species